rnacentral:rRNA from 1 species
UACGUAGGGUGCAAGCGUUAAUCGGAAUUACUGGGCGUAAAGCGUGCGCAGGCGGUUGUGCAAGACAGAUGUGAAAUCCCCGGGCUUAACUCGGAACUGUCAGCUGAUACUGAUGUGCUAGAGUGCGGAAGGGGCAAUCGGAAUUCUUGGUGUAGCGGUGAAAUGCGUAGAUAUCAAGAGGAACACCUGAGGUGAAGACGGGUUGCUGGGCCGACACUGACGCUGAGUGCGCGAAAGCCAGGGGAGCAAACGGG